rnacentral:rRNA from 1 species
GACGAACGCUGGCGGCGUGCUUAACACAUGCAAGUCGAACGGAAAGGCCCUGCUUUUGUGGGGUGCUCGAGUGGCGAACGGGUGAGUAACACGUGAGUAACCUGCCCUUGACUUUGGGAUAACUUCAGGAAACUGGGGCUAAUACCGGAUAGGAGCUCCUGCUGCAUGGUGGGGGUUGGAAAGUUUCGGCGGUUGGGGAUGGACUCGCGACUUAUCAGCUUGUUGGUGGGGUAGUGGCUUACCAAGGCUUUGACGGGUAGCCGGCCUGAGAGGGUGACCGGCCACAUUGGGACUGAGAUGCGGCCCAGACUCCUACGGGAGGCAGCAGUGGGGAAUAUUGCACAAUGGGCGGAAGCCUGAUGCAGCAACGCCGCGUGCGGGAUGACGGCCUUCGGGUUGUAAACCGCUUUCGCCUGUGACGAAGCGUGAGUGACGGUAAUGGGUAAAGAAGCACCGGCUAACUACGUG